AUUGAACGCUGGCGGCAUGCCUUACACAUGCAAGUCGAACGGUAACAGGUCUUCGGAUGCUGACGAGUGGCGAACGGGUGAGUAAUACAUCGGAACGUGCCCAGACGUGGGGGAUAACGAGGCGAAAGCUUUGCUAAUACCGCAUACGAUCUAAGGAUGAAAGCAGGGGACCGCAAGGCCUUGCGCGUUUGGAGCGGCCGAUGGCAGAUUAGGUAGUUGGUGGGAUAAAAGCUUACCAAGCCGACGAUCUGUAGCUGGUCUGAGAGGACGACCAGCCACACUGGGACUGAGACACGGCCCAGACUCCUACGGGAGGCAGCAGUGGGGAAUUUUGGACAAUGGGCGAAAGCCUGAUCCAGCAAUGCCGCGUGCAGGAUGAAGGCCUUCGGGUUGUAAACUGCUUUUGUACGGAACGAAAAGGCUCUGGUUAAUACCUGGGGCACAUGACGGUACCGUAAGAAUAAGCACCGGCUAACUACGUGCCAGCAGCCGCGGUAAUACGUAGGGUGCGAGCGUUAAUCGGAAUUACUGGGCGUAAAGCGUGCGCAGGCGGUUUUGUAAGACAGAGGUGAAAUCCCCGGGCUCAACCUGGGAACUGCCUUUGUGACUGCAAAGCUGGAGUGCGGCAGAGGGGGAUGGAAUUCCGCGUGUAGCAGUGAAAUGCGUAGAUAUGCGGAGGAACACCGAUGGCGAAGGCAAUCUCCUGGGCCUGCACUGACGCUCAUGCACGAAAGCGUGGGGAGCAAACAGG
rnacentral:rRNA from 1 species